GACGAACGCUGGCGGCGUGCCUAAUACAUGCAAGUCGAACGCAGUGGGGACGGGUGAGUAACACGUGGGUAACCUCCCAUCAGAGGGGAAAACACUUGGAAACAGGUGCUAAACCGAUACUGAUGGAUGGACCCGCGGUGCAUUCGCUAGUUGGUGGGGUAAAGGCCUACCAAGGCGACGAUCCUUAAAUGGUCUGAGAGGGUGAUCCGUCACACGUGAACUGAGACACGGUCCAACCUCGUACGGGAGGCGGCAUGGGGGAAUAUUGGACAAUGGGCGAAAGCCUGCUCCAGCCAUGCCGCGUGUGUGAAGAAGGUCUUCAGAUUGUAAAGCACUUUAAGUUGGGAGUCGUUACCAACAGAAUAAGCACCGGCUAACUUCGUGCCAGCAGCCGCGGUAAUUC
rnacentral:rRNA from 1 species